rnacentral:rRNA from 1 species
UACGGAGGGUGCAAGCGUUAUCCGGAAUCAUUGGGUUUAAAGGGUCCGUAGGCGGUUUGGUAAGUCAGUGGUGAAAGCCCAUCGCUCAACGGUGGAACGGCCAUUGAUACUGCCAGACUUGAAUUAUUAGGAAGUAACUAGAAUAUGUAGUGUAGCGGUGAAAUGCUUAGAGAUUACAUGGAAUACCAAUUGCGAAGGCAGGUUACUACUAAUGGAUUGACGCUGAUGGACGAAAGCGUGGGUAGCGAACAGG